CUGAACCAGCCAAGUAGCGUGAAGGAUGACUGCCCUAUGGGUUGUAAACUUCUUUUAUAAAGGAAUAAAGUCGGGUAUGCAUACCCGUUUGCAUGUACUUUAUGAAUAAGGAUCGGCUAACUCCGUGCCAGCAGCCGCGGUAAUACGGAGGAUCCGAGCGUUAUCCGGAUUUAUUGGGUUUAAAGGGAGCGUACAUGGAUGUUUAAGUCAGUUGUGAAAGUUUGCGG
rnacentral:rRNA from 1 species